rnacentral:tRNA from 1 species
GAAAAUAAAGCGAUAUAAUUGCAGUCAGUUUCGACCUGACCUUAGAUGGAUUCUAUUUUUU